CCUACGGGAGGCAGCAGUGGGGAAUAUUGGACAAUGGGCGAAAGCCUGAUCCAGCAAUGCCGCGUGAGUGAUGAAGGCCUUCGGGUCGUAAAGCUCUUUUACCAGGGAUGAUAAUGACAGUACCUGGAGAAUAAGCUCCGGCUAACUCCGUGCCAGCAGCCGCGGUAAUACGGAGGGAGCUAGCGUUGUUCGGAAUUACUGGGCGUAAAGAGUACGUAGGCGGUUAUUCAAGUCAGAGGUGAAAGCCCGGGGCUCAACCCCGGAACUGCCUUUGAAACUAGAUAACUAGAGUCUUGGAGAGGUUAGUGGAAUUCCGAGUGUAGAGGUGAAAUUCGUAGAUAUUCGGAAGAACACCAGUGGCGAAGGCGACUAACUGGACAAGUACUGACGCUGAGGUACGAAAGCGUGGGGAGCAAACAGGAUUAGAUACCCUGGUAGUCCACGCCGUAAACGAUGAUAACUAGUUGUUCGGUCACUUGGUGACUGAGUGACGCAGCUAACGCAUUAAGUUAUCCGCCUGGGGAGUACGGUCGCAAGAUUAAAACUCAAAGUAUAUCGCGNGNGAGAGCGACGACGACGACGAGAGGAG
rnacentral:rRNA from 1 species